rnacentral:rRNA from 1 species
GAUGAACGCUGGCGGCGUGCUUAACACAUGCAAGUCGAGCGAGAAGUUUUGAAAAGAUUCUUCGGAUGAAAUUUAAAAUGGAAAGCGGCGGACGGGUGAGUAACGCGUAGGCAACCUGCCCCAUACAAAGGGAUAGCAUUUGGAAACGAAUAUUAAUACCUUAUGAAACUUAACUAGUGCAUGCUAGGUAGGUCAAAGAUUUAUCGGUAUGGGAUGGGCCUGCGUCUGAUUAGCUAGUUGGUGAGGUAACGGCUCACCAAGGCGACGAUCAGUAGCCGACCUGAGAGGGUGAACGGCCACAUUGGAACUGAGACACGGUCCAAACUCCUACGGGAGGCAGCAGUUGGGAAUAUUGCACAAUGGGGGAAACCCUGAUGCAGCAACGCCGCGUGAACGAUGAAGGCCUUUGGGUCGUAAAGUUCUGUUCUAGGUGAUGAAAACUGACAGUAACCUAGGAGAAAGCCCCGGCUAACUCCGUG